GUGUUAAUCGGAUUUACUGGGCGUAAAGGGCGCGUAGGUUGUUGUGUAAGUGAGAUGUGAAAGCCCCGGGCUUAACCUGGGAACUGCAUCUUAUACUGCGCAACUGGAGUGCAAUAGAGGGUAGUGGAAUUUCCGGUGUAGCGGUGAAAUGCGUAGAUAUCGGAAGGAACACCAGUGGCGAAGGCGGCUACCUGGAUUGACACUGACACUGAGGCGCGAGAGCGUG
rnacentral:rRNA from 1 species